AAAAGUCCCUGAACUUCAACCCUUCAUAUCUUUUUAACCACAACUCCAAAUGAGGUGAUUCCAAAGCCCAUUUCUUCAUCUCAUCGAGCCCGUUCUAUUGGUUUCAUUUUCACUAUGGUUUAACACUGUGAAAAUGACCUUUUUCCCUUGCACGUAAACAGCCCCUCCGAGAGAGAACUGUUUCCGGCAAAUCUUUUUGCGGCUUCACCGCACUUCUUGCCAGUGCCAUCUUCACCCCCAGGCAAGCCACAAUACCCACUUGCAUGAUAGUCAUGCAGUAGCCAUGGUUUUCAACUUGAAUAUUUAUUAAAUGAUUGCUUGUUUAAAAUAUGGUUAUCGUUGUUUCGAAAAUGCUUCUGGGAUUGUGCUUACUUGUUUGCUAUGUUGUUAUGCACCUGGUUAUCAUGCCCUGCUAGUUGCUAGUAUUACUUUCAUAUUGCCAUGCUUGAUAGUAGUACAUGUUGGGUUGGUCAUGCUCUUUGGUGCAUGACUAACGUCGGUUACCGAGUACUGUAAAUAGGCAUUGUUCCGUUGCUGUUAGUUGGCUAAGUGUUACUCGGUGAUUUUAUUGAUAAGUUCUUGCAUGUUAUUUAUGGUUGAUGCUAGUGGCCGUGUUAUGUUAUACUGUGAGUAGUGUUGCACUUGUAAUAUUUAUGCUCAUCUUUAUGCCAUGUUUAGUUGGAGAUUAUUUCAUAGUUGAUAUGAUGGACAGUUAUGUUGCAUCCUGUGCUUAUGUUGAUGCAUUGUCAUUGCAUCAUGUUAUUUUAUCAUGGCUCAGCAUAUUGCAUUCAAGUUUAACCGGAUUAAAUUGAACUUGAACAAUUGUUGGCUGUGUCAUGGUGCCACCAUAUUGAAACUGACCAUUGCAACCACACUUACUGUAUGGGUAAGGUCCUAACUGGGUCUGUUGUCGUGCAUCUCGCCGGUGCCUCCCAUGAGGGAAGGUUAUGGACGUGCUUACCCUGAUCAGGUAGGCUGACAUAACCUUGUGUGCUCGUUGUUUUUAUUUUUAUGGAUCCAGUCCCCGAGUGGGAGUGUCCCUGUGAGGGAGUUUUGACCACGACGGUGGUCGGGGUGUCUUUGGUAGACACAGGGCCACCCAGGACUAGCCCAGCUGGGAAUGGGUCGGAGUGGCCGGGAGAGUGUCACGGCAGUAGAUCGGUUUUGUUGGAACGCUGUUGGUCCACCCGAAUGGGAGUGCGAGGCCAUGGGUUCCAUGGUGUGGGUACAGUGUGCUACCUCUGCAGAGUGUAUAUUAAAUCUAUCAAUAGCCACGCCCGCGGAUAAGGGCCCAGUUCGUGUCAGUCCCACCGUGAGUCAACAAUAUUAAUAAUAACUUGAUUAAUGACAACCCCGGUUCGAUGAUGAAAUAAGUUGGUGGUGAUCGCCGUAAGGAUCAUGGGUUACUUUGGUGGUGAUUGCCAUAAGGAUCACAAGUUACUUUGGUGGUGAUCACUGUAAGGAUCACGAGUUACUUUGGUGGUGAUUGCCGUAAGGAUCAUGAGUUACUUUGGUUGUGAUCGCCGUAAUGAUCACUGUGGUAUCGAGGAUACCGAGUUGUUGGAUAUUCGUGAUGUUGUGCGAGAAAUCAUGGGUAAAGAGCAAGCUCCUUGUGGCCAUUCAAUGAUUACUACGGUAUUGUUUAUACCAAGCUUGAUUUGAUCCUAAGAUGAUCGCGUAAUGUCCGAGGUGGGUAAGUGAUGCGCGUGAUGGUUACGAGUAACCCGAGCAAAAUAAUUGGUGCAUUUAGUGUCAUCAUGUUGCAUGCUAGUAUUGUCAGAUUUAUAUGUUCUUGCCAUGCUCAUAUUGUUCUGGCUAUAUCAGGUUCAUAUUGACUUUGGAUUCUUAGUGGCUAUUAUGAUUAUUUUCAUGAUGGUAUUUGGUAUUAUUUGGAGUAUUACUUUGGAUAUCAUGUGCUCAUGUUAUGUUGUUAUAUUGAUCUCAUGUUAAUUGCUGCUUAACCUGUAAUUGCCAUGCUGUUGUUUGUCUUGAAUGCUUCUGGUUAUUGUGAGCUUGCAAGUACAUUCAAUGUACUGACCUGGCGUGUCAUGCCAGCUUGCAGGUCAUGCCUGGAUUGCUUGCUUGUUUGGUGUUGUUCCCGUGUUCGCGAGCUAGGAUAAACGUUCCAGCCAGAGUCCCUGCGGAUUGGAGUCCAUCAUCGUCGUUCGUUGUUCCGC
rnacentral:lncRNA from 1 species